GUUCAUCUCUCACUGUAGGCUAACACCUUCUCUGCUUUGAUUCUUUAGGCUUUGAAGUGUUUUACAGCACACAGGCACACAAAGUUGAAUUUCUACAGGGCAGAUUUUAGUGGGGUUUUUUGGUGGUUUUUUUUCGUUUUUUUUUUUCUUUUUUUCCCCCUUUUUCUUCUUGCCUCUUUCUCAUCUGUAUUUUUUCGUUUUUUUUUCUUUUUUUCCCCUCCUUUUUCUUCUUGCCUCUUUCUCAUCUGUAUUUGUUCAGCAUGCAUUUCGCCCCUGAACACAUUUUCCUUCUUAGAGCUGUCAUUCCUAACUAGCCUUUCUUAGUCAAGAGAUAACUCAGUUCUGUGAGGCAUCUCCCACUGGGAACCUUGCCUCUGUGAGAGCAGGUUUGAAUUGCAGACUGGCUGCAUUUUUGAUAAGUCCUGAACAUAAUGUACUAUCAACUGGGGAUGGAGGAAGCCAGUGGCAUUUGGACUGAGAGGCUCAAGGAAUGUAUUUUUCAGAAACUGGAGCUUUCAACACUUGCGUUGGAUUUUGCCCCACAGGUCUUAUCCUCUUUUGAAAAAUGCAGCAGGGGAAAAUGAAAAUAGUCUCUGCACAAGCUUUGAAUGGAUUUAAUCCUCCACAUUGGUCUUCUGACUCGGCUGUGAAACAAAGGACCUGGAAGACCAAGGUAGGAGCUUGGAGUCUUGCAUAAAAUGGGAUUUGGGGUUUAUUCAGAAUAUUGCCCAAUCCGGAAGAAAUCAUAGUCCAGAACACAUGCCAAACUAGA
rnacentral:lncRNA from 1 species